rfam:Hymenolepis nana genome assembly, scaffold: HNAJ_contig0000246
GGAUUGGAUUUUUUAAAAUCCACCAUUACUUGAAAUCGACUUUUAU